rnacentral:tRNA from 1 species
GCCGGUAUAGCUCAGUUGGUAGAGCACCUGAUUUGUAAUCAGGGGGUCUCGGGUUCGAAUCCUGAUGCCGGCACCA